AUUGAACGCUGGCGGCAGGCUUAACACAUGCAAGUCGAGCGAGCGGCGGACGGGUGAGUAAUGUCUGGGAAACUGCCUGAUGGAGGGGGAUAACUACGGGAAACUGUAGCUAAUACCGCGUACCAUAGGAUGAGCCCAAGUGGGAUUAGGUAGUUGGUGAGGUAAAGGCUCACCAAGACGACGAUCCCUAGCUGGUCUGAGAGGAUGACCAGCCACACUGGGACUGAGAAACGGCACAGACUCCUACGGGAGGCAGCAGUGGGGAAUAUUGCGCAAUGGGGGCAACCUGACGCAGCCAGGCCGCGUGAAUGAUGAAGGCCUUCGGGUUGUAAAGUUCUUUCGGUAGCGAGGCGUUAACUAAAGAAGAAGCACCGGCUAACUCCGUGCCAGCAGCCGCGGUAAUUC
rnacentral:rRNA from 1 species